rnacentral:rRNA from 1 species
GACGAACGCUGGCGGCGUGCUUAACACAUGCAAGUCGAGCGGAGCGGCGAACGGGCGAGCAACGCGUGAGUAAUUGUCCCCCUCCCUGGGAUAACAGAUGGAAACGGCUGCUAAUACCGGAUAGUGCGGGAUGACUCGCGUCCUAUCAGCUUGUUGGUGGGGUAGUGGCCUACCGAGGCGACGACGGGCAGCCGGCCUGAGAGGGCGACCGGCCACAUUAGGCUGGGAUACGGACGAGACGCGUACGGGGGGCAGCAGUGGGGAAUAUUGCGCGAUCGGGGACAGCCUGAUGCAGCAACGCCGCGUGCGGGAUGACGGCCUUCGGGUUGUGAACCGCUUUCAGCGAUGACGCGGUAGUGGCAGAAGAAGCACCGGCUAACUGCGUGCCAGCAGCCGCGGUAAUAC